rnacentral:rRNA from 1 species
GUUGUAUAGUCAAGUAAUUAAGUGCAUGUGGUGGAUGCCUUGGCAGUCAGAGGCGAUGAAAGACGUGAUAGCCUGCGAAAAGCUCCGGGGAGGCGGCAAAUAUCCUUUGAUCCGGAGAUGUCUGAAUGGGGGAACCCACCUACUUUAAGGUAGGUAUUGCAACAUGAAUACAUAGUGUUGCAAGGCGAACGAGGGGAAGUGAAACAUCUCAGUACCCUUAGGAAAAGAAANUCAAUUGAGAUUCCCUCAGUAGCGGCGAGCGAACGGGGAUCAGCCCAUUAAGUUAUGUGUGUUUUAGUGGAACGCUCUGGGAAGUGCGAACGUAGAGGGUGAUAUUCCCGUACACGAAAGGGCACACAUAAUGAUGACGAGUAGGGCGAGGCACGUGAAACCUUGUCUGAAUAUGGGGGGACCAUCCUCCAAGGCUAAAUACUCCUGACUGACCGAUAGUGAACCAGUACCGUGAGGGAAAGGCGAAAAGAACCCCUGUGAGGGGAGUGAAAUAGAUCCUGAAACCGCAUGCAUACAAGCAGUGGGAGCACCUUCGUGGUGUGACUGCGUACCUUUUGUAUAAUGGGUCAGCGACUUAUAUUCAGUAGCGAGGUUAACCGUAUAGGGGAGCCGUAGAGAAAUCGAGUCUUAAUAGGGCGUUUAGUUGCUGGGUAUAGACCCGAAACCAGGCGAUCUAUCCAUGAGCAGGUUGAAGGUUGGGUAACACUAACUGGAGGACCGAACCCACUGUCGUUGAAAAGCCAGGGGAUGACUUGUGGAUAGGGGUGAAAGGCUAAUCAAGCCUGGUGAUAGCUGGUUCUCCCCGAAAGCUAUUUAGGUAGCGCCUCGGACGAAUACCAUAGGGGGUAGAGCACUGUUUCGGCUAGGGGGUCAUCCCGACUUACCAAACCGAUGCAAACUCCGAAUACCUAUGAGUACUAUCCGGGAGACAGACUGCGGGUGCUAACGUCCGUAGUCAAGAGGAAAACAAUCCAGACCGCCAGCUAAGGCCCCAAAAUCAUAGUUAAGUGGGAAACGAUGUGGGAAGGCAUAGACAGCUAGGAGGUUGGCUUANGAAGCAGCCACCCUUUAAAGAAAGCGUAAUAGCUCACUAGUCGAGUCGGCCUGCGCGGAAGAUGUAACGGGGCUAAAACUAUGUGCCGAAGCUGCGGAUUUGACAUUAGUCAAGUGGUAGGGGAGCGUUCUGUAAGCCGAUGAAGGUGUAUUGAGAAGUNNNNNNNNNNNNNNNNNNNNNNNNNNNNNNNNNNNNNAUGCUGGAGGUAUCAGAAGUGCGAAUGCUGACGUGAGUAACGACAAAACGGGUGAAAAACCCGUUCGCCGAAAGACCAAGGGUUCCAGUCCAACGUUAAUCGGGGCUGGGUGAGUCGACCCCUAAGGCGAGGCCGAAAGGCGUAGUCGAUGGGAAAAUGGUUAAUAUUCCAUUACUUCUGUGUAAUGCGAUGAGAGGACGGAGAAGGCUAAAUCAGCCUGGCGUUGGUUGUCCAGGUGAAAGGAUGUAGGCAUGUAUCUUAGGCAAAUCCGGGGUACUCUAUGCUGAGAUCUGAUAGCAAGCUGUACUUGUACAGCGAAGUGGUUGAUGCCAUGCUUCCAGGAAAAGUCUCUAAGCUUCAGUUACACAGGAAUCGUACCCGAAACCGACACAGGUGGUCAGGUCGAGUAGACCAAGGCGCUUGAGAGAACUCUGCUGAAGGAACUAGGCAAAAUGGUACCGUAACUUCGGGAGAAGGUACGCUGUUGUUGGUGAUGGAACUCGCUUCCUGAGCUGACGACAGCCGCAGAAACCAGGCCGCUGCAACUGUUUAUUAAAAACAUAGCACUCUGCAAACACGAAAGUGGACGUAUAGGGUGUGAUGCCUGCCCGGUGCUGGAAGGUUAAUUGAUGGGGUUAGCGUAAGCGAAGCUCUUGAUCGAAGCCCCAGUAAACGGCGGCCGUAACUAUAACGGUCCUAAGGUAGCGAAAUUCCUUGUCGGGUAAGUUCCGACCUGCACGAAUGGCAUAAUGAUGGCGGCGCUGUCUCCAGCAGAGGCUCAGUGAAAUCGAAAUCGCUGUGAAGAUGCAGUGUACCCGCGGCUAGACGGAAAGACCCCGUGAACCUUUACUGCAGCUUGACACUGAACUUUGACCUUACUUGUGUAGGAUAGGUGGGAGGCUUUGAAGCUGGAACGCUAGUUCCAGUGGAGCCGUCCUUGAAAUACCACCCUGGUAAUGUUGAGGUUCUAACUCUGUCCCGUGAUCCGGGACGAGGACCGUGUCUGGUGGGUAGUUUGACUGGGGCGGUCUCCUCCUAAAGAGUAACGGAGGAGUACGAAGGUGCGCUCAGCGUGGUCGGAAAUCACGCGUAGAGUAUAAAGGCAAAAGCGCGCUUAACUGCGAGACCCACAAGUCGAGCAGGUACGAAAGUAGGUCUUAGUGAUCCGGUGGUUCUGUAUGGAAGGGCCAUCGCUCAACGGAUAAAAGGUACUCUGGGGAUAACAGGCUGAUACCGCCCAAGAGUUCAUAUCGACGGCGGUGUUUGGCACCUCGAUGUCGGCUCAUCUCAUCCUGGGGCUGAAGCAGGUCCCAAGGGUAUGGCUGUUCGCCAUUUAAAGAGGUACGCGAGCUGGGUUUAGAACGUCGUGAGACAGUUCGGUCCCUAUCUACCGUGGGCGCUGGAAAUUUGAGAGGAUCUGCUCCUAGUACGAGAGGACCAGAGUGGACGAACCUCUGGUGUACCGGUUGUGACGCCAGUCGCAUCGCCGGGUAGCUAUGUUCGGAAGGGAUAACCGCUGAAAGCAUCUAAGCGGGAAGCCUACCUCAAGAUAAGAUUUCCCUAGGACUUUAUGUCCUCUAAAGAGCCGUUCGAGACUAGGACGUUGAUAGGUUGGAUGUGGAAGCAUAGUGAUAUGUGAAGCUGACCAAUACUAAUUGCUCGUGAGGCUUGACUAUACAACACCCAAGCAGUUG